rnacentral:rRNA from 1 species
AGUGAACGCUGGCGGCGUGCUUAACACAUGCAAGUCGAACGAGAACGGAAUAUAGCUUGCUAUAUUUGUCAGCUAAGUGGCGCACGGGUGAGUAAUGUAUAGAUAACCUGCCCUUAAGAAAGGAAUAACAGUUGGAAACGACUGCUAAUGCCCUAUAUGCCUUUAAUACAUAAGUAUGCAAGGGAAACGCUUUAGUGCUUAAGGAUGGGUCUGUAUGGUAUCAGCUUGUUGGGGAGGUAAUGGCUCACCAAGGCUAUGACGCCUAACUGGUUUGAGAGGAUGAUCAGUCACACUGGAACUGAGACACGGACCAGACUCCUACGGGAGGCAGCAGUAGGGAAUAUUGCACAAUGGACGAAAGUCUGAUGCAGCAACGCCGCGUGGAGGAUGACACAUUUCGGUGCGUAAACUCCUUUUAUAUAGGAAGAUAAUGACGGUACUAUAUGAAUAAGCACCGGCUAACUCCGUGCCAGCAGCCGCCGUAACAC